AUUUCGUGUAUAGAACUCUCUCUCUCUCUCCACUCGGUCUGCACCUGCCGUUUCCUUCUCACCUCCAUUCUCAGCGUCCAAAGUUGGAGAAGCGUCACAAGAUCCCUAAUUGAUGUCCUUCUUCUAAUCAUUCUCCUCUUCGGUCUCUGUUGUCGGUUGCAGGUCACCUGUUCGCUUGUUCAUCGAUUUCUAGUUAGCUGGUUCGAACUUCUGGUUGGUUUGAGCAGAUUCUUUUUCGCAAUUGCUAGGGUUUGCUUCCUAACCUUCUCUUGCCAGUUAGCUCCCGGAUGAAUUGAGCUAUCUAUCGUAUAUUUCCUUCCGAAAUUUUGGUUCUUUUUGUCGAUUAUGGGUGUGCCUCAAUGAAGCAGUUGCUCUAAACCAAAAUUUUAGAGCUUGCAUACUGAUAGACGAAAAUAGGAAAUUUUGGACGUUGAAUCGUUUCUCUUAAGUUGCAAAAAAAGGUUUUUUUUUUCUUUCGCUUUUCUAAAAUUGGUGGAGCUAAAGACUUGUCGGACAUUAUGUUAGAUAUGUUCUGAUUUUCUUCUGUAAAUUGGGUAGAGAUGACUGCUGACCUGAUUUGAUGAGGUUUAAAGAGGGUAGUAGAAAUGGAGGAAGGCAAUAGUAAAUCGGAUUUAAAAUCAUUGCGGAAGCUUGGAGUCAGAACGACGGGAAAUUUGAAGCCUUCUGUGUCAGGGAGGUUUAGUCCUAGGAAUUCUCCUCUCAAUGGAAGGUUGCAUUCUAGUAGAACCCGAAGGGAGAACAAGGCCACCUCUGUCAAGUGGCUUUUUUGGCGGAGCAAUCUUGUAGUGCUAUGGUUGAUGCUUGUAAUUUUUUGGGCUUACAUUGGUUUCCAUGUGCAAUCAAAGUGGGCUCAUGGUGACCAUAGAAAGGAAGAACUCAUUGGUUAUCAGAGCAAGGCAGGUAGUUCUGGCAAAUUAGCUGGAAAUUCAAUCACUUGGAAUCAGGAUUUUGUAACAGAGAAUGGAAAGAACUUAACAUUGAUUAAGAUUGGUGAUACUCAGACAAAGAAAGCAAAAGAGGUCCCAACAAAAGCUAAUACUACCAAGAUUAAGAUCGGUGAUACUCAGACAAAGAAAGUAAAAGAGGUCCCAACAAAAGCUAAUACUACCAAGAAGCGCAGUAGGAGAUCAGAACGGAGACUGCGAAGAGCUUCAGCCAAGUUGAAGGGCAUGGCUUUGGAGAAUAAAACUGGCGAGAUAGAGGAAGGGAUGAUACCAAGAAGAAAUACUUCAUAUGGAUUGAUUGUGGGACCAUUUGGUAAGGCAGAGGACAACAUUCUGGGGUGGAAUGGUGAGAAAAUGUGGGGCACUUGUGAUAGGAAAAAUGAAUUUGCUCAUAUUGUUCGGUCACAGUCGUUUGUGUUGGUUCUUCAUGAACUUUCAAUGACAGGAGCUCCGCUUUCAAUGAUGGAACUAGCAUCAGAGAUCCUGAGUUGUGGGGGUACUGUCUUUGCGGUAGUCCUAAGCAGAAAAGGUGGGCUGCUGACAGAACUCGAUAGAAGAGGGAUUAAAGUAGUUAAAGACAGGGCGCAGAUUAGCUUCAAGACUGCCAUGAAAGCAGAUGUUAUUAUAGCUGGAUCAGCUGUCUGUUCAUCCUGGAUAGAGCAAUAUCUGGCACAUUUCCCAGGUGGCUCAAAUCAAAUAGUUUGGUGGAUCAUGGAGAAUCGACGAGAAUACUUUGACCGAUCAAAGGAUAUGCUUAGCCAAGUGAAACUGAUAGUUUUCUUGUCUGAGUCACAAUCUAAGCAGUGGUUAUCAUGGUGCGAAGAAGAGAAGAUUCAUCUCAAAUUGCAACCAAUGAUAGUUCCUCUCUCUGUGAACGAUGAAUUAGCUUUCAUAGCUGGUAUUCCAUGCUCCCUGAACACUCCAGCUUUUAGUGCAGAAAACAUGCUUAUGAAGAGGAAUAUGCUAAGAGCUUCUGUUAGGAAAGAGAUGGGCUUGAGUGAUAAUGACAUGCUUGUUAUGUCUCUCAGUAGCAUAAACCCUACCAAAGGUCAGCGCUUGUUUCUAGAAUCAGCUCGUUUGGUGGCUGAACAUAAUGUUUCUUUGAAAGCAUUUCCAAAAGAUGAAUCACUUGUGGUAAAGUUUCCAGAAGUUGCUCACCGAAACACAGAUAUUCAGCUUAAUUCUAGUAGCAUCUCAAUGCCAACUAACCAGGAUAUUGUUCUGAAGAGUAACAUUAGUAGUAUGGCUACUAGGAAGAGGAGAAAACAUUCAAAAUCAGCCACUGUUCUUUCUUUGAGAAAUGAUAUUUCUAAGAGUAUCACCAGAGCAGAUGGCCAAAAAUUAAGGAAUCUGCUGGCAGAAACCAAGGACAAAGUAGAGCAGAACCUUAAAGUUCUUAUAGGUUCACUUGGAUCCAAGAGCAACAAAGUGCUUUACAUAAAAGCUAUCCUUAAAUUGUUAUCUCAACAUUCAAACCUGACGAAACAAGUAUUAUGGACCCCAGCAACUACACGCAUUGCGUCACUCUAUGCUGCAGCAGAUGUAUACGUGAUAAAUGCACAGAUUGGAUGGCUUGCUCCUUGCACCAAAAUCCUGGAUCUUUUGUAGGAAAUUGCAUUAUUAUUGGACUACAAGAAAGGGAAAAAUAGGAAGUUCAUAAAUGGCAUUUCUUAAGCAUCAAAUAAAAAGGGGCUUGGAGAAACAUUUGGAAGGGUUACAAUUGAAGCUAUGGCUUUUGGCCUGCCGGUGCUUGGAACUUAUGCAGGAGGGACCAGGGAGAUUGUUGAGCAUGGAGUUACCGGUCUUCUCCAUCCUGUUGGGAGAGAAGGAAUACAAGGUCUGGCCCAGAACAUUCAGUAUCUGCUGAGCAACCCAUCAAUGAAAGAAAAAAUGGGAAUUCUCGGAAGGAGAAAGGUACAAGAGAAAUACCUGAAGAAUCACAUGUACAAGAGUUUUGCUAACGUUCUCAUCAAGUGCAACAAAAUCAAAUAGCAAAGCUGUUCAACUACUGCACAUUUUGCAACUAGAGAUCUUUUCAAUCGAUUCAUUAGACAUUUUUUCCAUUUGCAAUUAACUUGUUAACAACCACGUGUUGAUUGGUUAUUAUUAUUAUUUUUUUACUUCAGUAGAAUGCUCAAUUAUAUAUUUGAGUUUUGUCUGUAGUAAAUUUGAAAUACAAUUUAAGCAUAUUUAGAGGUCAAUUUCAAAA